GACGAACGCUGGCGGCGUGCUUAACACAUGCAAGUCGAACGAUGAAGCUGGAGCUUGCUCCGGUGGAUUAGUGGCGAACGGGUGAGUAACACGUGAGCAAUCUGCCCUUGACUCUGGGAUAACUGCGGGAAACUGUAGCGAAUACCGGAUACGAGGCUCGAAGGCAUUUUCGGGUCUGGAAAGAAUUUCGGUCAAGGAUGAGCUCGCGGCCUAUCAGCUUGUUGGUGAGGUAAUGGCUCACCAACGCGACGACGGGUACCCGGCCUGAGAGGGUGACCGGCCACACUGGGACUGAGAAACGGCACAGACUCCUACGGGAGGCAGCAGUGGGGAAUAUUGCACAAUGGGCGAAAGCCUGAUGCAGCAACGCAGCGUGAGGGAUGAAGGCCUUCGGGUUGUAAACCUCUUUUAGCAGAGAAGAAGCGAAAGUGACGGUACCUGCAGAAAAAGCACCGGCUAACUACGUGCCAGCCGCCGCCGUAA
rnacentral:rRNA from 1 species